GGGGCUGUGGCUCAGUGGUAGAGCAUCUACUUGUCAUCAUGCAGAAGGUCCCAGGUUCAAUCCCUGGCAUCUCCA